UGUGACUAUGUCCUUUGUGACAUUUCCACACAUGGGACCUUCACACUCAUCGCUUUGAUUCCAACAGAGAAGUCGUGUUCAGGAGCAACUCUGCGCUUUGUAGAGAUGUUAAGAUUCUUGAGAACCUUCUUUGAAACUUCCAUUUGUAUCCAUCUACCCCGAGUGCAUUGAUUGAUAUCCUGAGUACAAUCUGAAUCUUGGUCAGGCUCUAAAAAUGCGUAUCUUUGGCUGUCAAACGAGAAUUUCCAGAGACAUGUUCUGGAACCAAAGAGGAGGAAUGUGGGGGAAUGUGAGAUCUGCUCUGCUCUGCUCUGUAAGGCAAACAGCAGGACGUCGGGAAAGUCUGGUAUCUCUGAAUGUAUUUUCUGUACAUCUGUCCUCUUUUCAAAUCAAUGUUACUUUUAUUUCUUGGAUGAAGAUCUAUAAUCAAGUUGCCACUGAUGAGCUGUGAGAAUUUUGACUUCAGCUUUGUAACAAAUGAAUCUGAAAGCAGAAAAGCCAGACGGAAAAACAAUCUCCAAUCUGAAAAGUAAAAAGUAAAAUUUACUUCCAGAAAAAUAUUGCCUAUGACUAGGAGGAAAA